GCCGAAGUAGCUCAGGGGCAGAGCGCGUCUUUGGUAAAGACGAGGUCACGGGUUCGAUUCCCGUCUUCGGCUCCA
rnacentral:tRNA from 1 species